rnacentral:rRNA from 1 species
UACGUAGGGGGCGAGCGUUGUCCGGAUUUAUUGGGCGUAAAGAGCUCGUAGGCGGUUCGGUAAGUCAGAUGUAAAAACUCCAGGCUCAACUUGGAGAGGCCAUCUGAUACUGCCGUGACUAGAGUCCGGUAGAGGAGCACGGAAUUCCUGGUGUAGCGGUGAAAUGCGCAGAUAUCAGGAGGAACACCAAUUGCGAAGGCAGCUCGCUGGGACGUUACUGACGCUGAGACGCGAAAGCGUGGGGAGCAAACAGG